GGUAGUCUCGGCCCUAAACGAUGAUCACUAGGUGUCGGGGGGUUUCCCUCGGUGCCGCAGCUAACGCAUUAAGUGAUCCGCCUGGGGACUACGGCCGCAAGGUUGAAACUCAAAGGAAUUGGCGGGGGCCCGCACAAGCGGUGGAGCAUAUGGCUUAAUUCGAUGCAACGCGAAGAACCUUACCCAGGCUUGACAUGUACCUGCAAGCUCCCCAAAAGGAGCCGCUUUCGAAGGUGGUACACAGGUGGUGCAUGGCUGUCGUCAGCUCGUGUUGUGAAAUGUUGGGUUAAGUCCCGCAACGAGCGCAACCCUCAUGUUAUGUUGCCAGCGAGUAAUGUCGGGAACUCGUAACAAACUGCCUAUGUAAAUAGGAGGAAGGUGGGGAUGACGUCAAGUCAUCAUGCCCCUUACGCCUGGGGCUGCACAUAUGCUACAAUGGAUGCUACAAACGGUCGCGAACCCGCGAGGGCGAGCUAAUCUGAAAAAAGCAUUCUCAGUUCGGAUUGGAGUCUGCAACUCGACUCCAUGAAGCCGGAAUCGCUAGUAACCGCAGGUCAGCAUUACUGCGGUGAAUACGUUCCCGGGCCUUGCACACGCCGCCCGUCACGUGACGAAAGUUGGUUUUGCCCGAAGUCGUUGAGCUAACCGCAAGGAAGCAGACGCCGAAGGUAAAGCCGAUGAUUGGCGCGAAGUCGUAACAAGGUAGCCGUAUCGGAAGGUGC
rnacentral:rRNA from 1 species